UUCUUGGGAAAAGCCAAAAUUGUUAUUUACAGAUGAAUUCUUACCUACAAAAUCCAAGAGAAUUAUUAGAAAACAAAGGUUCAGCGAAGUGACCACACAGAUCCACAUACCAAAACCCAAAUUAUCCUAGGGUACAAUAAAAGUCCAUUAGGAAGAACAAACAAACCAAAACAGCAAUAAAAACUGCCAGGAAAAAACCUAAUAAGAAAUGUGCGGGGGCGCCUGGGUGGCUCAGUUGGUUAAGCGACUGCCUUCGGCUCAGGUCAUGAUCCCAGGGUCCUGGGAUCGAGUCCCACAUCGGGCUCCCUGCUCUGCGGGGAGCCUGCUUCUCUCUCUCCCACUCCCCCUGCUUGUGUUUCCUCUCUCGCUGUGUCUCUGUCAAGUAAAUAAAUAAAAUCUUAAAAAAAAAAAAAAUGUGCAAACCACCAAGAAGAUUCUAAGACUUCAGCUGAACAACGAGGGAAGACUCGGAUUAACGGAGAAGUAUCCACAGUGCUGGACAGGAAAUCUCAAUAUUAUAUGAUACCAAAUCUGGGAAAACAAAUCCCAGGAAACCGUUGCCAUUUGGCGACGAUCCAUUACAGAAUUUCAAAUGGAAUCCCACACAAAUGCCGGAAAAACGCUGUCAUUUGGCGACCAUCUGUUACAGAACUCGGCCCUAGGGCUCCAGGUUCCGCACGUCGCCUUGGGAAACGCCCUCGAGGAGCCGGACAGCCAGCGCAAAGCCGCGCGGCCGGAAGAGGCCCGUGGCCCCGCCCCUCCCUGCGUCGUGGGCGGGGCGUUUCCGGCCUGCUGACGCCCCCGCGCGUCCCAGCCGCGCGCCACCGCGCCGUCCCACGUCCGGCUCCGCGGCAGCUGCCUGAGCAGGCGCCGGCCGCGGCUGUGGAGCUCGCCCCAAAUGGUCGCUUCCCCUGUUAUUUCCAGUACGUGAUGGUCGCAGUGGGAGCUGUGGCUGGAAAGGGGCCGCGUUGGCGUUUUCUUCCCACCUUCUCCUUCCCCCAAGCUCCCUAAAAUUGUCUCCCGACCUCUCGGUCACCCCCUGGGCCAUCCAACCCCUCUCCUCAGAUGAGGCCGCUUCCAGCGCUCCAGGUUUCCCCAGAAGUUACAGAAGAGACCCUGGAAUCAGACCUGGACUCUCCAGAGCAGUGAGGAGGAAGGCCCUGAAGCUUCACCUCUGGAAGGAGCUGCCAGGACCUCCUGCAGCACCGAGCGGAAGAGCUGGGACACCUCCUGCACCUGGGGCUCCUGCUCGGCCAGCAGCUGCCGGAACCUGUGCGCAGAGCAGGAGAGGUGCUGCGGGCUCCAUGCUAAGCCAGGAGCCCAGUGUGGGGCUUGAACUCACAACCCUGAGAUCAAAUCCUGAGCUGAGAUCAAGAGACAGAUGCUAACCAACUGAGCCAUCCAGGUUCCACAUAUAAGUGAGAUAAUACAGUAUUUGUCUUUCUCUGUCUGACUUAUUUCACUUAACAUAGUACCCUCAAGGCCCAUCCACGUUGCUGCAGAUGGCAAGAUUUCCCUCUUUCUUAUAGGUUCCGGGGCCUCAUCUCUCUGCUCCAGGCUGCUCUGUGCUCACCUCAUCCUGGCACAGCCCCAGUGCACCGUGACUGCCUGCAUGUCCAUCACCCUCUCCAGACCAAGUGAGAAACCAGGUCUUAGGCAUCAUCCUACCCAGCACCCAGCACCCAGCAGAGGGUCUGACCUACAGCAAGUGUGCAGUGGAGGUCCAUAACUAGGCUAGAACUCUCCCUAGGGAGUCCCUUCCCACUCCAAAACUUCUCACGCUUCCUAAGAUCCAUUUGGAGGGACUCAUCCUUGGGUCAAGCAUGGCCCCCUCAAAGGGCUUUUUUUCUUCGUCGUCUGGAUUUGCAUUUGAGCUGGAAGGAGGCAGCAAGAGAAUGGCUCAGCCAUAGAGGGUCCUCCUGUGGCAGGGGAAUACAGAAGAAAGAUGGGAGGCACUGAAGACAACUUUUAUCUCCACACCAAACUGGCCUCCACAUGUUGGCAGCAAAGCCACUCCAGGCCCGGUCAGGGCACCGCGCGUCUGCUAGGGCACUAGGGCAGUGCCUUGAACAGAACCUCACAUUCCCUGUGUCUAAAUAUUUGUAAGUUACAAAUUAGGUUAACAAACUAUUAAAUAAAAUACGUUUUGCUUUUC